rnacentral:rRNA from 1 species
GAUCCUGGCUCAGGACGAACGCUGGCGGCGUGCUUAACACAUGCAAGUCGAACGAUGAACCACUUCGGUGGGGAUUAGUGGCGAACGGGUGAGUAACACGUGGGCAAUCUGCCCUGCACUCUGGGACAAGCCCUGGAAACGGGGUCUAAUACCGGAUACUGACCACCUUGGGCAUCCAUGGUGGUCGAAAGCUCCGGCGGUGCAGGAUGAGCCCGCGGCCUAUCAGCUUGUUGGUGAGGUAGUGGCUCACCAAGGCGACGACGGGUAGCCGGCCUGAGAGGGCGACCGGCCACACUGGGACUGAGACACGGCCCAGACUCCUACGGGAGGCAGCAGUGGGGAAUAUUGCACAAUGGGCGAAAGCCUGAUGCAGCGACGCCGCGUGAGGGAUGACGGCCUUCGGGUUGUAAACCUCUUUCAGCAGGGAAGAAGCGAAAGUGACCGUACUC